rnacentral:rRNA from 1 species
UACGUAGGGGGCGAGCGUUGUCCGGAAUGACUGGGCGUAAAGGGCGCGUAGGCGGCCGUACAAGUCUUGCGUGAAAGUCCCGCUUUCAAGGUGGGAAUUGCGAGGGAAACUGUAUGGCUUGAGUGCGGAAGAGGUAAGUGGAAUUCCCAGUGUAGCGGUGAAAUGCGUAGAGAUUGGGAGGAACACCAGUGGCGAAGGCGACUUACUGGGCCGUAACUGACGCUGAGGCGCGAAAGCGUGGGGAGCGAACAGGAUUAGAUACCCUGGUAGUCCCUGAG